rnacentral:rRNA from 1 species
UCGAGAAUCAUUCGCAAUGGGCGAAAGCCUGACGAUGCGACGCCGUGUGAGCGAAGAAGGCCCUAGGGUCGUAAAGCUCUUUCGCUUGGGAACAAGAGAAGCUGGCUAAUAACCGGCUGAUUUGAGUGUACCAGGUAAAGAAGCACCGGCUAACUCCGUGCCAGCAGCUGCGGUAAUACGGAGGGUGCAAGCAUUAAUCGGAAUUAUUGGGCGUAAAGGGCGCGUAGGCGGGGAUGUAAGUCAGAUGUGAAAUCCCGAGGCUCAACCUCGGAACUGCAUUUGAAACUGUAUCUCUUGAGGAUAGGAGGAGAAAAUGGAAUUCCACAAGUAGCGGUAAAAUGCGUAGAUAUGUGGAAGAACACCAGUGGCGAAGGCGGUUUUCUAUCUUAUACCUGACGCUGAGGCGCGAAAGCAAGGGGAUCAAACAGGAUUAGAUACCCCCGUAGUCC